rnacentral:rRNA from 1 species
UACAGAGGGGGCAAGCGUUAUUCGGAAUUAUUGGGCGUAAAGGGCGCGUAGGCGGCUUUGCAAGUGACGGGUGAAAUCCCUCGGCUUAACCGAGGAACUGCCUGUCAAACUGCAUGGCUUGAGACCGGGAGAGGUGAGUGGAAUUCCCAGUGUAGCGGUGAAAUGCGUAGAUAUUGGGAAGAACACCGGUGGCGAAGGCGGCGCUCUGGACCGAGACUGACGCUGAGGCGCGAAAGCGUGGGGAGCAAACAGG